rnacentral:rRNA from 1 species
CACGUAGGGCGCAAGCGUUGUCCGGAAUUAUUGGGCGUAAAGAGCUCGUAGGCGGUUUGUCGCGUCGAAUGUGAAAACCCGGGGCUCAACCCCGGGCCUGCAUUCGAUACGGGCAGACUAGAGUUCGGUAGGGGAGUCUGGAAUUCCUGGUGUAGCGGUGAAAUGCGCAGAUAUCAGGAGGAACACCGGUGGCGAAGGCGGCUUGCUGGGCCAGUUCUGACGCUGAGGAGCGAAAGCGUGGGGAGCGAACAGG